UUUUUUUUUUUUUUUGGAUAACCCAGGUGUCCCAGCUUAGCCGGACUAAAUCCUGGACCUCUAGCCCCCGACCCCUCAGUGACUAGUGGAGGUAAAUCGCAGGUUGUGCCCUUAUUGGUUCCCAGGUUCCCACAUGGCUUUUACUCCUUCCCCAAAGGGACCCUCCUCCAUGGUUAUUACAUCACCAAGCUGCUCCAAUCCUUCCUCUGAUUAUUACAUCACUUGGCUGCUCCAACCAGGAAUCGAACUCCCCACACUUGGUUCCAGAGCCCCCCAAUGUGAUUGUUCCGCCAACUUGGAUGUGCCCUGGGGG
rnacentral:lncRNA from 1 species